rnacentral:snRNA from 1 species
GUGCUCACUUUGGCAGCACAUAUACUAAAACUGGAAUGAUACAGAGAAACUUAACAUGCCAACAUGCCCUCUGCACAAGAUUGACAUACAAAUUCAGGAAGCAUUCCAUAUUUUU